AGUAAUGUCUGGGAAACUGCCUGAUGGAGGGGGAUAACUACUGGAAACGGUAGCUAAUACCGCAUAACGUCGCAAGGCCAAAGAGGGGGACCUUCGGGCCUCUUGCCAUCAGAUGUGCCCAGAUGGGAUUAGCUAGUAGGUGGGGUAACGGCUCACCUAGGCGACGAUCCCUAGCUGGUCUGAGAGGAUGACCAGCCACACUGGAACUGAGACACGGUCCAGACUCCUACGGGAGGCAGCAUG
rnacentral:rRNA from 1 species